rnacentral:rRNA from 1 species
UACGGGGGGGGGCAAGCGUUGUUCGGAAUUACUGGGCGUAAAGGGCUCGUAGGUGGCCAACUAAGUCAGACGUGAAAUCCCUCGGCUUAACCGGGGAACUGCGUCUGAUACUGGACGGCUUGAGUUUGGGAGAGGGACGCGGAAUUCCAGGUGUAGCGGUGAAAUGCGUAGAGAUCCGGAAGAACACCGGAGGCGAAGGCGGCUUGCUGGGCGUAGUCUGACGCUGAGGCGCGAAAGCGUGGGGAGCGAACGAGG